UUUACACUAUACACGUUUCACAACUAUAAUUUGAACACCUGUGUGCCAUAAAUAAAUAUAUUUUUACACUAUACACAAGUGAAUCAUGUUGUGUCAUUUACAUGACGGGUAAAUUAAAUGAACAUGUCUUGAUUAGGUACGACAUACUUUGGACAAGGAAGAGACCUGCAGAUAAAUAACACAAUUAAACAAACAAGUACUGAAAUAUAAGUGUUCCGCAUUAAGCUUGCUAGUAAGGAAAAUAUCAGGAGAUGGCUUGCUAGCUUUCACCUCUAGAUCACCCCCAUGGCAACUUGAUACAUCAGAGCAAGAAAACAUUCCCCAAUGGUUACAAACCUUUGGUGCAAAAUGACAUUCAUGGGAUCUGAAGACAUCACUAAGAAAUAUCAGGUUCUAUAUGAGUCUGACUUAUUAAAGAAUAGAGAGCAAUGAAGAAAAGUGCAGUACAUUAAAUCAAGGCCAAAUGAUACAUUGCAUGCAUCAGCGAGCAGAAAAAUAAAUGGUGUCUAAUAUUAUAUUUUCCCCUUCCAAUAGAGAGACUCCUUCUAUAUGUUUAACCAGUGAUUAAUUCCGGUUACACCAAAUAAACAUAGUUCUAAAUGCUACCAACAUUUUUUAUGAAACAAAGGACAACCAAAAUUAACUCCCCUCGCGUGGAAACUUGAUGUCCUUUCAACUCUGAAAUUCCACCAAAGGUAAGCAUACAAUAAUUUUAUAGUGUAUAAUUAUACAAAAGAAGAACAUGUUACGUGUGUAGAUAGCGCAAGGUGGCAUAUUAUCAUUGAGAGCAUAUAUUAGCACAUAGUGUGAUGAAAAUUGGAACCAGAUGUACUGUCAGCAUGUCUUUCUCCUUAUUCUGUAUAUCAUCAUUUCCUCUACACUUGACAUGAUAGCUUGAGAAAAAAAAGAUGAGUAUCCAGAUAUGUACAUAGUUAUGGCUAGAUUCCUUGUUUUGUCCAAGAAAGAUAAGUCAUGAGCCCAUCAUCUUAUUACAGCAAGGCACAUCUCUAUCAGUGGUGCAAGAGGUGUAAAUUUUAUACUUUCUUUUCAAGAAAAAACUCCUGGCAAUAUUAAACAUCAUGAUGUAACAAAUUACAAAUAUUAGUGUUAACAUAGGUUAAUAUCUAUUACUUAUGUGUGGUGCAGUUCAAUAAACCCUGAAUUUUUUUUGAAUUAUUCCUAACUAUCACCAUCAGAUCUAGGUCAAUAAAAGUUGUAGUCACAGCCUGAGCCAGAACUUUGGAUUGAGAAGGGAUUGGGAAACCCUCAAAGAAAGGAAGAAGCUCACCACAACACGGUUACAGGCCCCAACUAUCUCAACCUUGCGCACAAAACAGCUUAAUGACUCAUAUGGGAUCAACAAGAGUGCCAGUCGCGUAAAGCUUGUUCAGAUUGCCAAGGCCGUCCAC
rnacentral:lncRNA from 1 species